AGGAGUUGGUAUCAGUGGUAAAGUGCCUGCUUUGUAUGUAUGGUAUCCUGGGUUCAAUCCCCAGCUUCUG